rnacentral:piRNA from 1 species
UAGAAGUUCCGUAUAGCUUCC